rnacentral:rRNA from 1 species
UACAGAGGGUGCGAGCGUUGCUCGGAAUCACUGGGCGUAAAGGGCGCGUAGGUGGCGGCCCAAGUCCAUGGUGAAAGCUCGAUGCUCAACAUCGAGUCGGCCACGGAUACUGGGUUGCUCGAGCACUGUAGGGGCAGAUGGAAUUCCGGGUGUAGCGGUGGAAUGCGUAGAGAUCCGGAAGAACACCGGUGGCGAAGGCGGUCUGCUGGGCAGUUGCUGACACUGAGGCGCGACAGCGUGGGAGCAACAG